rnacentral:rRNA from 1 species
UACGUAGGGUGCGAGCGUUGUCCGGAAUUAUUGGGCGUAAAGGGCUCGUAGGCGGUUUGUCGCGUCGGGAGUGAAAACUCGGAGCUUAACUCCGAGCCUGCUUCCGAUACGGGCAGACUAGAGGUAUGCAGGGGAGAACGGAAUUCCUGGUGUAGCGGUGAAAUGCGCAGAUAUCAGGAGGAACACCGGUGGCGAAGGCGGUUCUCUGGGCAUUACCUGACGCUGAGGAGCGAAAGUGUGGGGAGCGAACAGG